rnacentral:snoRNA from 1 species
AAUCCAUGAUGUGGACACCUUCUCAAAAGAUUCUUAAAUCUCCCUCAUGCAUCAUACAGUGUCUCAAGCUCAAAUUGAGCAAAAGAAGGGAUGUCAUUCCUCAACUU